rnacentral:sRNA from 1 species
AGUGGUUUCAGGGCUGUUGGUCGAAGUUAAUUUAUGUAAACUUUGUUUUGGCUGACCCAUUUGCUGCUGAUAUGGGCACUCGAUGAAGGUUUCAGAGGCUGUUGCUUAGGUAAUUAAGGUAAGCUUAUUUUGGAUGAACUGGUAGUUGCUGACAUGAACAGUUGAACAUUUCCGCCGGGCAUGCUUUAUUGAAUUAUUGACGGUCAAAAUAGCUGUUGCU